rnacentral:rRNA from 1 species
CCCUUAGACGUCCUGGGCCGCACGCGCGUUACACUGAUGCAUUCAACGAGCUUAUAACCUUGGCCGAGAGGCCUGGGCAAUCUUGUUAACGUGCAUCGUGAUAGGGAUAGAUUAUUGAAAUUAUUAAUCUUCAACGAGGAAUGCCUAGUAGGCGCAAGUCAUCAGCUUGCGUCGAUUACGUCCCUGCCCUUUGUACACACCGCCCGUCGCUCCUACCGAUUGGGUGUGCUGGUGAAAUGUUCGGAUCGGCCGUUUGUCGCGGUUUCCGCGUCAUGUGGCUGAGAAGUUCAUUAAACCCUCCCACCUAGAGGAAGGAGAAGUCGUAACA